rnacentral:rRNA from 1 species
GGCGACGUGGGCGGUUCGCUGCCCGCGACGUUGUGAGAAGUCCACUGAACCUUAUCAUUUAGAGGAAGGAGAAGUCGUAACAAGGUUUCCGUAGGUGAACCUGCGGAAGGAUCAUUG